AUUGCUUCUUGGCCUUUUAAAGAUCAAGUGUAGUAUCUUUUCAUCAGCUUAAUAUCUGAUAUGUCCUCCAUCUGAAAACAACACAUUGAGUAAGUAGAUUUUUUUAGCAGAGAGGUAAAAUAGGACAUAGUCCAAUCCACUAUGCACAUUGACCUGGUACUGCAGUACCACUGGAAAUGGUUUCGGUGGA
rnacentral:snRNA from 1 species